rnacentral:rRNA from 1 species
UAAUACGAAGGGUGCAAGCGUUACUCGGAAUUACUGGGCGUAAAGCGUGCGUAGGUGGUUCGUUAAGUCUGAUGUGAAAGCCCUGGGCUCAACCUGGGAAUUGCAUUGGAUACUGGCGGGCUAGAGUGCGGUAGAGGAUGGCGGAAUUCCUGGUGUAGCAGUGAAAUGCGUAGAUAUCAGGAGGAACAUCCGUGGCGAAGGCGGCCAUCUGGACCAGCACUGACACUGAGGCACGAAAGCGUGGGGAGCAAACAGGAUUAGAUACCCUGGUAGUCCACGCCCUAAACGAUGCGAACUGGAUGUUGGGUUCAAUUAGGAACUCAGUAUCGAAGCUAACGCGUUAAGUUCGCCGCCUGGGGAGUACGGUCGCAAGACUG